GACCCCGCGGCCUAGUGGUUAGCGCAGUUGCUUUUGGAAUUUUCAUCAAGGGUUCAAACCCCAUUGGGGCCA